rnacentral:rRNA from 1 species
GAGUUUGAUCGUGGCUCAGAUUGAACGCUGGCGGCAUGCCUUACACAUGCAAGUCGAACGGCAGCAUGAUCUAGCUUGCUAGAUUGAUGGCGAGUGGCGAACGGGUGAGUAAUACAUCGGAACGUGCCCUGUAGUGGGGGAUAACUAGUCGAAAGAUUAGCUAAUACCGCAUACGACCUGAGGGUGAAAGUGGGGGACCGCAAGGCCUCAUGCUAUAGGAGCGGCCGAUGUCUGAUUAGCUAGUUGGUGGGUAAAGGCCCACCAAGGCGACGAUCAGUAGCUGGUCUGAGAGGACGAUCAGCCACACUGGGACUGAGACACGGCCCAGACUCCUACGGGAGGCGAGCAGUGGGAAUUUGGACAAUGGGCGAAAGCCUAGAUCCAGCAAUGCCGCGUGUGU